CUUAAUCAUACAUAGAGAAUAUAAAAAGCAAUUGUGUUUAAGUAGUCUAUAUGUUAAUUAAUUAUUCACAUGAUUACAACCAGUUUAUUAAAGGAAAACUGUGGCAUGGAUUACACAAAUUAAAAUGUGCAACAAAAGACAAAUGAAAUAUACAUGAGUAGAAGGCUUAUACAUCAGAGACAAUCUUGUGAACGUAAAUAAAGUAUUGGCAUUUUGCUCUCCCACCUAUAUUAGGUACAUUCUAGAAAACUGUAAUUAAUUUUCAUAGAAACUUCUAAAAAGGAUCAUUUGAAAUAUUGUAUUUUAUACAAGACACAUACUUGAAAGAGCCACAAAGGCUAAAGGAAUGUGUGAGAUAAUACAUAGUAAAUAAUAAUAAUAAGCAGGUUAAACUCUACCCAUUUAGCACCGCCAUGGUCCAGGUGGGCACAAUAGGAAAACACUACAUCAUAAAUGAGAACCUAUUAUGAAUUCCCUAUUAAGUCCCUUUGGCCAUAACAUAUCCAAUGUAUAAAUCUAAAAGGCCUCUUACUUUUUAAGCAAUCCUUUGCGAUCACCUCCUCUCUGGAGAGGUG